rnacentral:snRNA from 3 species
GUGCUUGCUUCAGCAGCACAUAUACUAAAAUUGAAUGAUACAGAGAAGAUUAGUAUGGCCCCUGCACAAGGAUGACACACAAAUUCAUGAAAUGUUCCACAUUUUU